rnacentral:lncRNA from 1 species
GGAAAAUGAAGUAACUUUCUUCCCUUUUUUUUAUUAAUGGGGGAUCCAGGGUAGAACCUUUACAGGCUGCAGGUAUCAGAAGAAUCAGCAUUAGCAACUAGCAUCAAGAGCCAGAACUACCUGCAGAUUGAACCAUGGAGAUGUUUACUGCACUCUCCCAUCAAAAGUGCACUGUUGCAUUGGAAGAAGGAAUGCAUUUCACCAGGCAGAUGAAAAGCAAGCAGAAAACAGCACUGGAAUACUUGCUGUUGACCUGUUCUCCUGAAAGGAAAGCAGACAGAAAGCCAAUAAGGUUUGGAGAAAAAAGUUCACAACAACUGAACAUACUUAACCACACUAAACUGGCUACAAAAAAUGACUACUCUGGGUUCAUCUACUUCUUUUUUUUAAGAAACCUCUAAUCCAGGAAGAAGCUGGAAGAACAUUUUCCAAAAACUGUUGGCUUAAACCCAGAAGACCCCCAGCAGCUGAAGAUACUCUGCAACACUGCCUCCUUUUUCAGGGAUGCUCAGUCAUGUUCUUCCUCAGGUCAAUACUAAAGCAAUAAUUAGUAUUGUCAAACAUUUUAGACAAACAAAUUACUUUAUUUAUUUUCUUGUGAAGAGUGAACAUGAUUUUCUGAGCCUGAGAGAGUUUUAAGUCUGUCAGUGGCUGACCUGUUUCCCAAGGGAAAGUCUUUUGGGAAUUUUUCUCCCUCAAGGACUAUUUUAAAUAGGUUUUUGGUUCUCAAGACAAU